GAUGAACGCUGGCGGCGUGCCUAAUACAUGCAAGUCGAGCGAACAGACGAGGAGCUUGCUCCUCUGACGUUAGCGACGGACGGGUGAGUAACACGUGGAUAACCUACCUAUAAGACUGGGAUAACUUCGGGAAACCGGAGCUAAUACCGGAUAAUAUAUUGAACCGCAUGGUUCAAUAGUGAAAGACGGUUUUGCUGUCACUUAUAGAUGGAUCCGCGCCGCAUUAGCUAGUUGGUAAGGUAACGGCUUACCAAGGCAACGAUGCGUAGCCGACCUGAGAGGGUGAUCGGCCAAACUGGAACUGAGACACGGUCCAGACUCCUACGGGAGGCAGCAGUAGGGAAUCUUCCGCAAUGGGCGAAAGCCUGACGGAGCAACGCCGCGUGAGUGAUGAAGGUCUUCGGAUCGUAAAACUCUGUUAUUAGGGAAGAACAAAUGUGUAAGUAACUAUGCACGUCUUGACGGUACCUAAUCAGAAAGCCACGGCUAACUACGUG
rnacentral:rRNA from 1 species